rnacentral:rRNA from 1 species
AUACGGAGGGUGCAAGCGUUACUCGGAAUCACUGGGCGUAAAGCGCGCGCAGGCGGCUAUUUAAGUUGGAUGUGAAAGCCUACGGCUCAACCGUAGAACUGCAUCCAAAACUAUUUAGCUAGAGUGUGGGAGAGGAAGAUGGAAUUAGUUGUGUAGGGGUAAAAUCCGUAGAGAUAACUAGGAAUACCAAAAGUGAAGGCGAUCUUCUGGAACAGUACUGACGCUGAGGCGCGAAAGCGUGGGGAGCAAACAGGAUUAGAAACCCUUGUAGUCC